GACGAACGCUGGCGGCGUGCCUAAUACAUGCAAGUCGAACGAGAGCGACCGGUGCUUGCACUGGUCAAUCUAGUGGCGAACGGGUGAGUAACACGUGGGUAACCUGCCCAUCAGAGGGGGAUAACAUCCGGAAACGGAUGCUAAAACCGCAUAGGUCCUUUAACCGCAUGGUUGAAGGAGGAAAAGAGGCGCAAGCUUCUGCUGAUGGAUGGACCCGCGGUGCAUUAGCUAGUUGGUGAGGUAACGGCUCACCAAGGCCGUGAUGCAUAGCCGACCUGAGAGGGUGAUCGGCCACAUUAGGACUGAGACACGGCCCAGACUCCUACGGGAGGCAGCAGUAGGGAAUCUUCGGCAAUGGACGGAAGUCUGACCGAGCAACGCCGCGUGAGUGAAGAAGGUUUUCGGAUCGUAAAACUCUGUUGUUAAAGAAGAACAAGGAUGAGAGUAACUGCUCAUCCCCUGACGGUAUUUAACCAGAAAGCCACGGCUAACUACGUGCCAGCAGCCGCGGUAAUACGUAGGUGGCAAGCGUUGUCCGGAUUUAUUGGGCGUAAAGCGAGCGCAGGCGGUUCUUUAAGUCUGAUGUGAAAGCCCCCGGCUCAACCGGGGAGGGUCAUUGGAAACUGGAGAACUUGAGUGCAGAAGAGGAGAGUGGAAUUCCACGUGUAGCGGUGAAAUGCGUAGAUAUGUGGAGGAACACCAGUGGCGAAAGGCGACUCUCUGGUCUGUAACUGACGCUGAGGCUCGAAAGCGUGGGGAGCAAACAGG
rnacentral:rRNA from 1 species